GGGGGGCCGGGGGGGGGAGGGGGGGCAGGAGGUGGGGGGGGUGGAGUCACAGGGGGCGGGGCCUCCAGCGACUAGCCACGCCCACCAGGUCGUAGGCCACGCCCACCAGGUCGUAGGCCACGCCCACCAGGUUGCAGGCCACGCCCACCAGGUCGUAGGCCACGCCCACCAGGUCGUAGGCCACGCCCACCAGGUCGUAGGCCACGCCCACCAGGUUGUAGGCCACGCCCACCAGGUUGUAGGCCACGCCCACUGGAGGUGCAGGCCACGCCCCCCGCUGCCUCUAAGCCCCGCCCCCCCGAGUCUAACCAAUUUGUUACUUUGGCUGUGAGCGACUGAUGGUGGUGAGGGUGGUGAUGGUGCUGAUGUUGGUGGUGCUGUUGAUGUUGGUGGUGAGGGUGCUGAUGGUGGUGCUGAUGGUGCUGAUGAUGGUGUUGAUGUUGGUGAUGGUGCUGAUGGUGAUGUUGAUGUUGUUGCUGGUGAGAGACUUCUGAGUAAAAAGAACCAAACUCG